rnacentral:rRNA from 1 species
AUUGAACGCUGGCGGCAGGCCUAACACAUGCAAGUCGAACGAGUGGCGGACGGGUGAGUAAUGUCUGGGAAACUGCCUGAUGGAGGGGGAUAACUACUGGAAACGGUAGCUAAUACCGCAUACCAUCAGAUGUGCCCAGAUGGGAUUAGCUAGUUGGUGGGGUAAAGGCUCACCAAGGCGACGAUCCCUAGCUGGUCUGAGAGGAUGACCAGCCACACUGGAACUGAGACACGGUCCAGACUCCUACGGGAGGCAGCAGUGGGGAAUUUUGCACAAUGGGCGCAAGCCUGAUGCAGCCAUGCCGCGUGUAUGAUGAAGGCCUUCGGGUUGUAAAGUACUUUCAUCAGGGAGGCGUUACCCGCAGAAUAAGCACCGGCUAACUCCGUGCCAGCAGCCGCGGUAAUAC